CUUUGUCUUACAAGCUUUCCUUCCAUUUUUAGUCUGGAGUGAACUCUCCUCAAUGUUGUUGCUUCUAUUUUGGGUAUUCUUUCUUAGCACUAAUUUCCUCCGUCCCACCUUCCCUCCUUGCUUCCCUUCUUCCUUCCUCUGAACUUAACCUUCCCUGUUUAGUAGUUCUGUGGUUAUUUCCAUCUCGUUUCUGGGACUCUCAGGCCAGACCUUGAUCUUAUCGCAUUGUAUUACACAUCCAAUUUCUUCUCUGGGAUUGGACUCUGGCCAUGAGACUGCGACGGAUUCUUCCACCCUCCCUAGAUUUUGUAAAACAACAAAAUGUCCAUUGGGCACUUGAACAUGGACAGAACAAGGAUGAACAGGUGCCUGAUAAGCCACCUUGGAAAGAUUAUGCCUUCGGUGAUGUAUGGAGGCUGUCAUCUUAUGGCUACCAGCAUGUUGACCAUUCCAGAUUGUGUUCAAUAUACUGUUCUUUAUUCUGGUCCAUAAACAGAGAUCUCGUGCUUGGUGGAAAGCUCAGCUCAAGAAGCUUUGAAAUGCAGAUUAGGUUAAUUACACCAGAAUUAUAUUUGAAAAUUGAGAAGAAGCAUUUUCUAAAAGGCAAAUUCCAAAUAUAUGCCUUUUCAAAGGAAGUGUCAUUUGGAAAGAAACUGAAUCACACCAUGAAAUCUGUGGCAUUUCUUUUGGUCUCCACUCUCUUCUAUACUAGUGGUAGGCUCGUGUGA
rnacentral:lncRNA from 12 species